UUAGUUUGCAGUGGAGUGGGACGUGUGCCAGAGCAUUUGGGUGAUAGGGUGUUCAUGUAGCCUCUUCCGUGGCUAUCUUUGGCCAAUCAUCACUUGGACAGCA
rnacentral:snoRNA from 1 species